UUUAAGCAUCUUAUUUAUUGACUUUAAUUAUUUAUUUUGAUUUAAUAUUCAUUGCUAUAAACAAACAACUUUGUGUUUAUAUUCCAGUGACCCUAGUUUGGAAUCUGAUUCAUUCCUGAAUAGCUACCUUGAUAUGGACUCAGUAAAGGGCAAGAAGGUCCCAAUAAGAGAAAUUUUCUGGUUCCAUUAAGAUGCUGAUGAAUAAGAAUUUAGUAUUAAGUACAUAGGACUUGUCUUCUACAUAUACUGAUUGUGUCGUAGUGAGUCCAUAAUCCUUAUCAUUUGACUCAAUUAAAAUUACUCUGGGAAC
rnacentral:lncRNA from 1 species